GAGGGUAUAGCUCAGUGGUAGAGCGCUUGCUUACCAUACAGGAGGUCCUGGGUUCAAUCCCCAUUAUUUCCA